rnacentral:lncRNA from 1 species
GAGCAUUGAUGUUUUCAUUUGGAUUUCAAUUACCGGAAGAUAAAUUAAGGUGUGUUGGCUGGGUAUGCAAAGUUGAAGAUGUACAAGUAAUAGCAGAUGGUUUUAGUGGCUUUUUGCGAAAUUAAAAGUUUUAGAAAGGAGAUAUUAGGGUUUUGCUUUGAGGUGUGAAACCACUGUUUUUUCAUAAAAAGUGUUUUGAAACCACUGUUGGGUCAACAGAUGGAUGAAAACAGAUGUUUGAUACCACUGUUGGGCUAAAAAAUGUUUUGUGGAGAAAACAGUGGUUGAACCCACUGUUUGGUUAAAACGGUGGCUUGAAACCAGUGUUUGGUUACAACAGUGGUUUAUGGAGAAAAAGAUGUUUCAAACUAGUGUUGGAUUAAAACAGUGGUUUGAAACCAUACUAUUUGUUCAACAGUGGGUUAAAACCACUUGAUGAAGCAGCAUAGGAUAUGGAUGACGUUGCUUGAUGCCAAAAUCACUUGAAUGUGUUGAAAAAAUGGUACAGGGGAUAUACGAGCAGCUACCGCUAAGGAUAUUGAUAUUGAUGCGUUUGCUAUAUGGAAUGCUUGGGGACUGGCUUUAAUUCGGAUGGAACACUAUGCUCAAGCUCGUGUCAAGUUCAACAGGUGGAACGAACAAGAUGUUAAUAGCCUAUCAUGAAACUGGUCAUGCAAUCUGCGCGUAAGUAUUCACUCUACUCAUCAUUUUAACAUAAUGUGAUGCAGUUUGGUCUAAUUUUUAGGAUCAUGUGCUGGUUUUAGGACUGUGACUCAAGGGCAUGAUCCAUUAUACAAAUGCACUAAUCGAUUCACAUACCUCUUUAGUUUUACAAAAGUCCACAAACUGUCAUAUAGGCAAUUUGGGCAAGCAAAUACUGCAUAUGAGCUUUUUGAACAACUUUUUUGCAUUUCUUGGAUAAACCAUGUUGAUAUCUCUAAGGCUUUAUUCUUUUAUGGGCAAACUGUUGUUUACUAUGCAAUCUACAUUUGUGAAAUCAAGUAACGUCUGUGACAACCAGGUCGUUUGGCUAAAGUGCCCUUAUGGAUUGAGUCGGGUGUGAAAAGUGUCGUCUAUGGGGAAAGCUUCAGGUUCUUAGCGUCGAAACUGCACUAAAAAUCCUGUUCUCUGUUGAUGGUCAAGAAGGCCGAGAUCAGCUUGUGAGUAUCACAUACUUAUUGAUUUAUAUAAUUAAAGUCUUAAUCUUCGUCCUGCCUGAUAUCUAUAUUUGUUUUUGUUUUACUGGAUCAC